CGCCGCCUCUCCUCAUCUUUUUCUCUUUUUUCCUUCUUUCUUUCUUGCUUUCUCUCUUCUUCAGCGGCGGCCUUCUUCUAAAAGGUAAAACAACAAAAACCCCUUUUUUUACUUGUUAUUCCUGAUUUUUACUCCGAUCUAGAUUUGCAUGUCGCUCGAGGAUGCCUCCAGCAAAUCCUCCGGUGCCAUGCAAGCCCCGAUCAUAAAUCUAGGGUUAGAGUUUUCAUUUGUAUAGCCUUUCUCUGACUUUUAUUGUUUUAUUUCAUUUUUUUAUUCGGGUUUGGCAUCGGUGAAACAAGAGGGGAGGGGGCAGGAAAGCAGAAGAAAGAAGAGAAGGGCCGCCGACGACGGACCCGCCGGUCGGAGAAGAGGCGAGCGAGAAAGGUAAAAACUCAAUUUUUACACUUGCUUUACCUUUGCUUGGUGGAUGAUGGUAGUUUUAUUGAUUCGGUCACUUGGAAUAAAAACUGGACUAUUUUGUUGUUAAGAUGAGCUUAGUAAUAUGAACUCUCUAAAAAUUACCCAUUUGUUUGAAAAAUUAAUUAUUUAGUGUCAUCCUUGAUAAAAUUUCAGCAACUUGUUUUAACCAAGAGCUAAUGUUUUUGCUUGAUGUUGAUGUCACAUGUUAAGUUUUUGAGUUUUGAUGUUGAUCGUGCUAAAAUGGCUCGAAAUCGCUCAUUUGAACCCUUUUAAUUAUGUUUUCCUACAAAUUUUUAUUUGGUGAAAGCAGUCUUUAUUAAUUUUUUUAUAUCAACUGUUUAGGUGAGCUCUUUGGAUUACUUAGUUUUGAUGAUCAUUAGAUUAUCAAAAGGGUUUAGGAGCAAUCAUAAUAAUGGAAACAGAGAUAUGCCUGUUAUAUGAAUAUCUAAAAAUCAGGAAAAUGUUUUGUUUAUGAGGAUCAACCUUCGAAAGCUGAUUCUUACUCUUCUUCUUUGGCAGUGUUGGUAAGAUCUCCGGGCCGCUUGCUCAAAGAGUUUAGGACUUCGAAAGCUUGGACGAUGAAUUCUCGAACCUUCUACUAUAAGCAUUUAUGUUUGUAUUUUUAUGUUUCUUCUUAUCUCUUUUAUGUUGUAUUGGGAUUGAGGUUUAAUGGAUUUAGGGUGUAAUGAAUUCAUAGUGUAAUGGAUUUAGGGUGUAGAGGGAUUAGGAGAUUUUGGGGGAGUUCUCGUUGUAAUCAGUAGUCCAUCGUUCUAUCCCUCCCCCCUUCCGAUUGUCAUUGUUAAAAGUCUUAUUUAUAGGAAUGAAGGUGAUGAUGACGAUGCAAGGGAGGGGCGAGGUGAUGACACGUAGAGGAAUGACUAAUCUAGGUCAGAAUUUUUGUAAACUUAAUACCUUUUUUAGUUUUUGUCCAUUUAUUUGUAAUUAAAAUUCUGAAAUUCGAAAUGGGCCCAAACUAACCCAAUUUAGUGGGAUCGAAACCCUAUCACCUUGUCCAAUUACAGAACUAAGUUUUUUGGUUCGAAAUAUCAUGUCAAUCCGUUAAUUCUACCAACGCUUAAUAUCUAGGUACGGCAUAGCAUCUUUGCUUAUAACCGUUAAUUGAUAAUUUAAACAAUUCGGUAAAAUUUUAGAAGUGUGUAUUCUAAUUAAUAAAAGGUCAAAAAUUCGACGAAAAAAAAUCAAGCUACGAAAAUGAUAAAAUAUUCGAGAAUCCGGACAAAAUUUGGUUACCACAACCCUUCAACAUUAGCACAACACUUAUCAAGACAUUUGGUUAAGUUCUCUAUGCUCCUAACUAUCUCGUCUGAUGGCUGCUUNNNNNNNNNNNNNNNNNNNNNNNNNNNNNNNNNNNNNNNNNNNNNNNNNNNNNNNNNNNNNNNNNNNNNNNNNNNNNNNNNNNNNNNNNNNNNNNNNNNNNNNNNNNNNNNNNNNNNNNNNNNNNNNNNNNNNNNNNNNNNNNNNNNNNNNNNNNNNNNNNNNNNNNNNNNNNNNNNNNNNNNNNNNNNNNNNNNNNNNNNNNNNNNNNNNNNNNNNNNNNNNNNNNNNNNNNNNNNNNNNNNNNNNNNNNNNNNNNNNNNNNNNNNNNNNNNNNNNNNNNNNNNNNNNNNNNNNNNNNNNNNNNNNNNNNNNNNNNNNNNNNNNNNNNNNNNNNNNNNNNNNNNNNNNNNNNNNNNNNNNNNNNNNNNNNNNNNNNNNNNNNNNNNNNNNNNNNNNNNNNNNNNNNNNNNNNNNNNNNNNNNNNNNNNNNNNNNNNNNNNNNNNNNNNNNNNNNNNNNNNNNNNNNNNNNNNNNNNNNNNNNNNNNNNNNNNNNNNNNNNNNNNNNNNNNNNNNNNNNNNNNNNNNNNNNNNNNNNNNNNNNNNNNNNNNNNNNNNNNNNNNNNNNNNNNNNNNNNNNNNNNNNNNNNNNNNNNNNNNNNNNNNNNNNNNNNNNNNNNNNNNNNNNNNNNNNNNNNNNNNNNNNNNNNNNNNNNNNNNNNNNNNNNNNNNNNNNNNNNNNNNNNNNNNNNNNNNNNNNNNNNNNNNNNNNNNNNNNNNNNNNNNNNNNNNNNNNNNNNNNNNNNNNNNNNNNNNNNNNNNNNNNNNNNNNNNNNNNNNNNNNNNNNNNNNNNNNNNNNNNNNNNNNNNNNNNNNNNNNNNNNNNNNNNNNNNNNNNNNNNNNNNNNNNNNNNNNNNNNNNNNNNNNNNNNNNNNNNNNNNNNNNNNNNNNNNNNNNNNNNNNNNNNNNNNNNNNNNNNNNNNNNNNNNNNNNNNNNNNNNNNNNNNNNNNNNNNNNNNNNNNNNNNNNNNNNNNNNNNNNNNNNNNNNNNNNNNNNNNNNNNNNNNNNNNNNNNNNNNNNNNNNNNNNNNNNNNNNNNNNNNNNNNNNNNNNNNNNNNNNNNNNNNNNNNNNNNNNNNNNNNNNNNNNNNNNNNNNNNNNNNNNNNNNNNNNNNNNNNNNNNNNNNNNNNNNNNNNNNNNNNNNNNNNNNNNNNNNNNNNNNNNNNNNNNNNNNNNNNNNNNNNNNNNNNNNNNNNNNNNNNNNNNNNNNNNNNNNNNNNNNNNNNNNNNNNNNNNNNNNNNNNNNNNNNNNNNNNNNNNNNNNNNNNNNNNNNNNNNNNNNNNNNNNNNNNNNNNNNNNNNNNNNNNNNNNNNNNNNNNNNNNNNNNNNNNNNNNNNNNNNNNNNNNNNNNNNNNNNNNNNNNNNNNNNNNNNNNNNNNNNNNNNNNNNNNNNNNNNNNNNNNNNNNNNNNNNNNNNNNNNNNNNNNNNNNNNNNNNNNNNNNNNNNNNNNNNNNNNNNNNNNNNNNNNNNNNNNNNNNNNNNNNNAGUAAACCAAACAAAGGUGGCGGAAUUUGGAAGUACAGCGCAACAAUGUGCAUGGUAAAAGCACGAAGUGCACCAUACAUAAGUGCACUGUACAAGUUAGAAGUGAACCAUUUGAAGGUGUACGAUGCUAGUUAGAAGUGCACUGUAUAAAGGUGCACGAUGCAAGUUGUUAGUGCAGAGUACAAGGUGCACAACACAUAGUGAAAGUGCAUCGUGCCACUGUACAUGGUGGAAGGUGCAAGUAUAACAUCUCGUUCCAACCAUACUAGUCAGAUUAAUUGAAAUUACUUGGUACAAGCUAUUGUAUACAUUCAUGAUAAAAAUUGUUAUCCUUAUCAUUUAAUCUGUACAUUCAUACUUUCAUGCAAAAUUGGAAAAAGAGUUCACGUGCAUCCAUGAGGAGAUGCAUAUCCUACCCUCACAUCAUGACAAAAGCCCUAGUUAGUUUAGAUUAUUCCCUCACCUCUUCAUGUGUACCUGUCCUUUUCUUUCGCUCUAAGGGAAUCAAAUAUAAUGUAUUUGAGGAUAAGGUUAAGAACAGAAUGUGUGGUAGAUAAAGGGGUGAUAGGCAUAUUUGAAAAAGAACAGGAAGUAGUGAUUGUAUAGUAGUGCAAACAUAGAACUCAUAAGAGAGCUAGUUUACAAUAUCAUGCAUUGGCCCUCGUUCAUAGUUCUGUUGGAAGUAAGGUCUCAACUCAGAAGCUUAUAUCUGUAUACUCAAGGGUUAAUUCUGGUCAGCGUGUCUUACAUAUCUGACCGGGUUAGACGUUCCAUUAUGAUUUUAUUAUUAUGAAAGGCCAUGUGCAUGCUAGGGUAUUGGCCGUUUUAAUCUUAAGAUUAUAUAUGCUGAUUUACCGUAUCGGUUAUUUGAUGUAAUACAUGUUAUGUUACCUAUCUUGUAUAUCUGAUUUAAUAUAUGUUUUAAUAUGAGUUGUAGCUAUUCCUGAUUAUUGAAUAAAUAAGGUAAUUGAUUGAUCACCUACUUAGGGCUCGUAUGCUGACUAUUAUGCUUAUUGCACUUUUGUUACAUUGUGGGCCUUGGUAAGCGCCACAGUAACUGUCGCUGUGGGCCUCAGUAAGUGCCACACUAACUCGAUGCAGUCCAUUUGGUGCCACUAACAUAUACAUGGGUCAGCAUAUAUGAGUCGAGAUCCCAAUAAAAUAUGAAUAUGAGUUAAAAUAUAGAAGUAGCCUUAUGUGUUAUAUGCUAAACACUUUCUUUAUGAUUAUGUGUACCUUAGAGUGGCCAUGACAAAGAUCCUCACUCAGUGAUUAGCACUGACCCUUACUUUCAAUUUCAGAGGGAUAAUAGGCUUUACCGAUUCAUACACUAUAAAUCUAAGGUAUGGUAUCAUCGAGCUCCAGGGUCGGCCAUCAUGGCGACGACGCCUGGUAGAUAUUGAAGAUUGUGUGUUGAUCCUCAUUUUGUGUUUAAACCCUAUUUGAGACUGUUACUCUCAUCAUGUGCAUAUGUUUUGAAUUGUCGUGUACUAGUACGAUGUGAAAUAUAAUUCUGUCCAAGCUUGUGGAGCUUGAGACUUAUGUUCUAUUCUUCAUUGAUAUGUUUUCUUACGGACUUCUUUUAUAGCAUUCUGUAAAAUAAAUAAGUCAUAUAUAACAUUGUGAGCAUUUUUUGUGUUGACUAGUCAAUCUUAUGGGUAUGUAUAAGUACAUCUCUAGAUUCUUGGGACGGAAUUGAAUUGAUAAAUUAUGCUACAUGAUAUAUGUGGUAUAAGUACCUUAGCACCCCUAUUACUGCUAUGCUAUUGUAUUUUAAAUCGAAGUUGUUAGUGGUAUGGGUGUUACAGCAAGUGCAUCAUAACAAGGUGCACGGUCAUGUUGGAAGUGCAUUGUACCAAGGUGCACAAUGCAAGGUGGGACUGCACCUUUCCAAUGUGCAUGGUGCAAGGUAGAACUGCAUCGACCAAAGGUGCACGGUGAAAGUUGGAAGUGCAUUGUUCCAAGAUGCAUGGAGCAAGGUAGAAAGGUGCACAUAACAAUGUGAAAGUAAACCAUACAAAGGUGCAUGGUGCAUGGUGUAAGGUAUCAAGGUGGAAGUUUCAAGGUAAAAGUAAACCAUAUGAAGGUGCACGGUGCAAGUUGGAAGUGCACCACAAUAAUGUGUAUGGUGAAAGUUCAAAGUGCACCAUACACAGUGUUGGAAGUGAACCAUUUGAAGUUUAUUAUGCUAGUUAGAAGUGCACCGUAGAAAGGUGUACGGUGCUAGUUGCAAGUCUAUCGUACAAAGGUGCAUUGUACAAAUCAGAAGUGUAGAAUACUAAAUUGCACGUGUAAGGUGAAAGUGCAUCAUGCCAAGGUACAUGGUGUAAGGUUGAAGUGCACUGUAACAAGAUGCACGGUGCAUGUUGAAAGUGCAUCAUAAAAAGGUGAACGGUGCAAGGUGGAAGUGCAGCAUACUAAGGUGCAAGGUGCAAUGUAAAACUGCACCCUACCAAGGUCCAUGGUGCAAGGUGGAAAUGCAUUGUAACAAGGUGUGCAUUACAUGUUGGAAGUAAACCAUGCCAAGGUUGUGCAAGGUAGAUUUGCAUCGUACGAAGGUGCAUGAUGCUAGGUGGAAGUGCAUGAUACCAAGGUUCACGAUGCAAGUUGAAUGUGCAUUGUACCAAAGGUGCACCGUGCAAGUUGGAAGUGUACCAUACAAAGGUGGAAGGUGCAAGUUGGAAGUGCAUCGUACCAAGGUGCACAGUGCAAGGAGGAAGUGCACCGUAACAAGGCACAAUGCAAGGUGAAAGUGCAAGGUACCAAGGUGCACGUUCCAAUGUGAAAUUAAAUUGUAGAAGGUGCACGAUGUAAGUUAGAAGUGCAUUGUAGCAAAGUGUAUAGUGAAUGGUUGAAGCACUACAAGUUGCAUGUUUAACAGCACAUGUGUAACGAUGGAUUCAUAACCAUCAUUAGUCUAACAUCACGUAUGAAAAAUCCGAGUUUAAACUUUAAAUCUAACAGUAGAUCCAAAAUCACUGUUAAUUUAACAACAGAUUUUAAAAAUCCAUUGUUAAACUGUUCGGGAGAAUUCAAUAAUUCAAAAUUUCACUCCCUUUUUCUUUCCCUCAUCCCUAAAAUUCCGAAAUUCUUUUCCCUCUUUCCCAAAUUUAAAAAUCUUUUCCAUCCUCCCCAAAAUUUCAAAUUUUCCCUACUUCUCUAUUUCUAUUCCCGACACUUCAUCCUCCAUUCUUCAAAUUUUUUCUUCAUUCUUUUUUGUUUAUUUUUUUUCUUUCAAUGUAGUUGAAAAAAAAAAUUUCUUUCUCCACUUUCUUUNNNNNNNNNNNNNNNNNNNNNNNNNNNNNNNNNNNNNNNNNAAAAGAAAUCAAAGAUUAAUUGAAAAAAAGAAGAAGAGUUGAAGAAUAAAAAAAAAGAAAAGAAAUCAAAAAAGAAUUGAAAAAAAGAAGAAGAAAAAUAAUCGAAGAAGAAUCAAAGAUGAAUCGAAGAAGAGGAAGAAAAAUCAAAUAAGAAGAUCAAGAAUCAAAGAAGAAUCGAAGAAGAAGAAAAAAAAGAAUUGAAGAAUAAGAAGAAGAAAAAUCAAAGAAUAUGAAGAAGAAUCGAAUAAGAAGAAGAAGAAAAAAAACUGAAAACAAAGAACGAUGAACGUAGAAACCCAGUUGGGUUUCUGUAUUUUUUUAUUGCAGGAUGAAAAGUUUAACGACAGAGUUUAUCAGCUAUUAGUUUUAAUGGAGGAUAAAAUCUACUGUUAGCUUUAACAGCGGACUAUCCGCUCUUAAAAUAGAUAAAAACCGCUAUUAAAAUGUAGCGUCUUGUAGUGAAGUGCACCAUAUCAAGUUGCAUGGUGCAAGUUAAAGGUGCACCGUUUAAUGGUGUAUAAUGAAAAUUGGAAGUGAACCGUACGGUGCACAAUGCGCGAUCCAAAGGUGCAUGGUGGAAGUUGGAGGUCCACCGUACUAAUGUACAUGUGCAACUUGAAAGUGUAGCGUAUCAAGCUAAGUUGUGCAAGGUUGAAGUUCAUCGUAACAAGGUGCAUAUUGCAUGUUGGAAGUGCACUAUACCAAGGUGUAUGGUGCAAUUUAAUAGUGCACCGUACCGAGGUGCAAAAUGCAAGGUAGAAGUUCACCGUACCAACGAGCAUGGUGCAAGGUGGAAUUAAAAUAUACCAUGGUGCCCAGUGCAAGUGAAAAGUGACCCAUACCAAGGUGCACGGUGCAAGGUGGAAGUGCACCGUACCAAGGUGCACGGAGCAAAGUGGAAGUGCAGAGUACCAAGAUGCAUGAGGAAAAGUGCAUGAGCACCGUAAAAAGGUGCACGGUGUAUGUUGGAAGUGCACAGUAACAAGAUGCACGAUGUAAGUGAGAGGUGUAGUGUAACAAGGUUGACGGUGCUAGUUGGAUGUACACUGUACCAAGAUGCACAGUGCAAGGCGGACAUGCACCGUACCAAGAUAAGCAGUGCAUGGUGGAUGUGCAUCGUACCAUGGUGCAUGGUGAAAUUUUGAAAUGCAAUGUACAAAGGUGCAUGGUGCAUGUUGGAAGUGCACCACACCAAGGUGCAUGGUUGGAGUUGGAAGUUCAACCUACAAAGGUCCAAGAUGUAAGGUGAAAGAGAAACGUGCCAAGUUGCAUGGUACAAGGUGGAAAUGCAUCGUAAUAAGGUGCUCGGGGCAUGUUGGAAGUUCACCAUACCAAGUUGCAUGGUGCAAGGUGGAAGUGCACCAUACCAAGGUACACGGUACAAGUUAUAAGUACAAUGUACCAAGGUUCAUGGUACAAGUUGGAAGUGCUCCUUUGAUACUGUUGUAGUGACCUUUCAAAGAUAAAACCUAAUUACCGAAGUAAAUAGAGUUGACUUACCUAGGGCCUCAACGAUGUGUUUACUCAUAGUGAUGUAAAAUGCUAAUCGAAAGUAAUCAAGUUGUGGUUUGAGUUGCAUGAUUACUAUAGCUAACAAUUAAACCAAGAAUCAAAAGAAAAAUAACUAAUAUUGCAAGAUUGCAUGAAUAAAGGGUUUCAAUAACUGGAAUGAAACUGCUCAAAAAUUUCGAAUCCUCUUACGCUAUCCAAACAAACAAACGAUAAUCAACUACUAAAUUUUUGCAAGGCAAGAUUGCACAUUUCACUCUCCCAUUUCUUAUAUACUAAUGUCACGCCCUUGCGAGAACUGCUAACCUACUACCAAUCCUAGAAUCUUAGAUCCCUACCUCGAGCCAUGCAUCUAAAACUAAUAUGGUGAUAAAUCAAAUGAGAAUUACACUAACGAUGGAUUAGUCUAACCGACCCUUCCUAAAGGUAAUAUCGACUAACCUAGAUAAUUAACUUUGGUGUUCUAUGAUAAACAAGCUCUUUCGAGUGGAUGGAAAUCUCACAAGAUCCUAUUCAAGCUGGCCAAGCAAGAACAAGAACCUAAUCGAAAUCAAUCAUAAACUAAUAUCCAUCCAACUCACGUAAAUUGAAGAUAUUAAAUAAUAAUUCGUUCAUAAGGAAUUACCUUGGAUUCAACUAAUCUAUGCCGAGAGGAGUUUAGCUAUGAUUAUCAUGAAGAACAAAUCAAACUCAAUAAAAGGAAUUCAUUGAAAAUAGUUUAACAAGCAAAAAUCUGAAAACCCUAAUUUCACUAUGUUCUUCGAAGAAGAACGAUAUGCCAACCUUGAUAUGUCGAAGUGGAUCCGAGCUCCUCGAAGUCGAAGUAUUCUCCUAGGUCAAAAGCCUCCCUUCUGCCUCUCAAAUUUUGUCCAAAAGUUGUCUCAAACUAAGAGGAGGACUAAUAUAUUUAUAGGAUUUGGACUGUACAAUGUUGUCGGUUUGUCAAUAGUUGCGCCUAAAAACUUUCCAUCGAAGUGCAAUUAUUGACUAGCAGAGGGGAAAUUGUGAGUUAGCUUUUGUGAGACUCAUGUAACCUUCUACGCCUUUGUUGGUCAACUUAUUUCCCUGAAAUUCUAGACAUGCUGAAGAGCAAAUCUUGAUAUUUCCAACACUUGGGUUUUUCAUCUUCUUUAGUCGUCUUAACUUGUCCAUACAUGUUAUAUUUCUCUGAAUAUGCCGCGAUGUCGCCAUGUAAUAAAAUUUAUAAAAAGCACUACAAAAUGACAUCAAAUGGACCAUUGGCGAGUCCGAGACACUAAAACAAGAUAGAAGCUUAACAUGUAAGAAAUACCCUAAACUUCUACCCAAAACUAUACUAUUAUGCAUGGAAUGUCGCUUAAAUAAGGGUGAUGAAUAUGUUAAUCAAAUGUCAACAAUAACCCCACACUUAAGCUUUGCUAGUCCUCAUGCAAAAAAUUGAUAAUAACCAUGGAAAACACCUGUAACCACUUAUAAUACUUGAAUAUGAACCAAAAUUAUAAGUAUAUCAAGUAGUUUCACACAAGUCAAGAGAUCUUUUAUUAAGGAUUGUAAUAUAAACAUAAUAGAAUAAGAGCGGAAAUGAGAUAUACGAUGGUGUAUACAUAGUGACCGACCGCUCCGUGUACUCUAAUACGGAGCUAGAGCUACCUAUUGAAUUAAAAUGCUAUGCCAGGAUCCAUAUUAUAUCCAAGAGUUUUGCUAGCCGUCUAUCCCUCAAAAUUGAACUACACUGCUUAGAGCUUUUUUGCUCUUUUAUUCUAACUAGUAUGGUUGGCCGCGCAAUGCCGCGGAAAUUUAAAUUGAUAGUAUGAAGAGAUUGCACACCCGUUGUUCAAAAGUUGAUUGUAAAUAAGAAAGAUAAUAUAAGAUUAUAGUGAUUAGGUACUAAUAGGGUUAUUAUUAAUACUAUAUAAAAUAUUUACAGGAUAAAAGGGAUGAUAAUUAAUAUAUGAAAAAUUAAUACAUGAUAAAAGGAUUCGAAUAUUUGGAAUUACAAACAGUCCAAUGUUGGUGAAAAGUAGUUAAACAUUGACCGACGCUUGUAAAUCUUCAAAAAAUUCCUGAUAUACAAUGUUGCACGUGCUUGUUUUGGGUACGUUGUGAUCAUUUUGAAGUAUAAUAUGAACACCUUCGAUGGAUCUCGCCCGAGACAAUGCAACAUAGAGUUGACCAUGAGAGAAAAUAGGUUUUGGUAAGUAGAUGCCAAUCUGUUCGAGAGUUUGUCCUUGACUCUUGUGUGUUGUCAUUGCAUAACAUAGGCGAAUUGGAUACUGACGUCUUUUCAAAGUGAAUGGCCAGUUUAGGUCAGACUUAUCAAGAACAAUUCUUGGAAUAAUUGUUAUUUUUCCUUCGUACCACCCUCCUAUGAUUAAUCCUCGAAGUGUAUGUUCGCCUAGAUAGGUAAGAAGAAUGCGAGUGCCAUUGCAUAGACUUGCAGAUGGGUUGAGAUUGCGGAGGAGCAUGAUAAUAGCAUACAAUUUAAGGCGUAAUGGAUGGUCUGGCAUGCCAUUGAAAGCUAAUGCAUUCAAGAAUUCUGUGGAGUAUUCUGCCUCAAGUCGUGUCUGAUUCGGGCCACUUGUAGUCAACGUGUCUGAACUAAGAUAAACUUUGUCAUCCCCGGGAAUUUGUGUUAACACAUAGUCAUUGAUAUUUGAGACAACUUGAUUUGUUAGUGUGACAAUUUAUCUUGCUCUGAUAUAUGCAAUAGAUUGGUAAUUUGUUGCCAAAUUAGGAUAAACUCGAUUGACAAUUUCUAUGAUUGGGCUUAUGGACUUUGGAAUCACAAAACGUUUAGGAAUAUCAAUCAAGUCGAUUGUUGAAUCGUCCACAAGGUUUGCUGGUGGAAUUUUUCCAUCACCAACAGCUAGGACCCAGUCGGCAAAGUUUAGACCGCCAGAGAUGGGCAAUGUAUUAGGGGUGGGAUAGAUCUGAAUCUUCCAAUUGCAAAUCCUUUUUUCCUUGGAACCCAUUGAGAGGCGUCUUUAUCCCAGACAAAUGCAUGAGUGAUUUCAGAAUACGUGUAUUGUCUUGCCAAUGGGUAUGUCCUGUUUAAUGCAAACCAUUUUAAAAAUGUUUUCUCGAUGUCCGGUCUGUUCAGAAUUACGUUUAACGGUUGACCCUCAUGCCAUGUUACUGGUUGUUUAUCAGUUUCAUGAAUGGCCAAGCGAAAUACUGAAGGUGUACGCUCAUGAAUUUUGUAUUUGAAAAGGCGACGCACUGCUUCAUCAGAAGAGAUUGAUCUACAGUCAAGGUAGUUUGUGAUCUCAUCUCUUGGUCCUUGAGGGUUCCCAACCGAGGAGCCUUGUGUUGUAGAUGUACUUUCAGCAGAGACAUUUGACCUGUCUAGACCUUUCAAGAUGUAUUUGAAAAGAGACUUAAUAAGCUGACCUUUGUGGCAUAUUUCAACAUUCAUAUGCGUUUGAUAUUUUACUGAUAAAUCUCGAUGGUAUGGUACUACAGAUAGAUUAUCUAAAAAAUUUCCUCUUGAAAUUGUUGUUAUGCCCGUUUGUCUGCGACGAUAUGCGACGUACCCAUUUUCAUCAAAGGUUGUUUUAGUUGAAAAUGUUUUUGGGUCGAAUUUUGAGCAACAUCCUUCGUUCAUGCAUGGUGAAAAAGGAUGAUCAUGGCCACAUGGUCCAUGUAUCAUAAAUGUAGUAACUGCAGCAUACCUUAUAGGAUCAAGUUCCGGGUCAGGUAAUUCUGCUGAAAUAAGGUGAUCAACUUUUAUAGGCGUUGUUGGUUUAUCUUCAAGUGCUAACCACAAUAUUAUAUGUGCAUGUGGAAGGCCUCUUUUUUGAAAUUCAACAGUGUGCAUACGUAUAAAUAUGAAAAUUAAGACUUUAAAUUUGAAAGAGUGUAGGUUUAUUUAUUUCAAAGUAAACAAAAUGCAUGACUAACCUGCAACGUUAUGGCCGAAGUAUUGUUUUUUCUUCAAAUCUCUCAAUAAUGAUAGGCGCAUUUUGAAGACACGGGAAACCAACAUAGGCUUAUCUUCACUCUACGUGCCAACAACAUCUUUGAAAGCAUUCACAAGUUCAUGCCAUUGUGCAUUGCAAGUGAACGUAAUAAAUAGAUCUGGAUUGCCAUAAAAUUGACAAAUUGAUAAAGCAUCUUGAUAAAGUUGCUGCAUGUAACGGACCCCGCCUGCCAAUACAUAGAAAUUAUGGAAUUUAGUAUGAAUAUUGAUAAUAAUUAUGAAAUAAUAUGCAACACUAUCGAAAUCAUACCAUACCUGUAAACGUUGCUGGCAAAAUGAUGUUGCCUAGAGUUUGGGGAGUCAAGAUCGCCUCGAUGAAGAGUAUCCUGUAAUCCGCUGUACAUGUUUGCACGAAGCUUUUCUUGGUGUAAACAGAAAUAUAGUAAACGAUUUUGUUCAACUGUUGUCUUAGCAUCAAUACAAAAAUGUUGCAAAGCCUAUUCUGAUCUAAUUAAUGUCUCUCCCUUGGCUUUUCUAUACAGCAGACGAAAAUUAUAGUACUCAUUUUGAGUCAUGAAUUUUCGUUUCCUUUUUGGAUUUGCACGUAUGGGGUUAUAUCGAAUCAUUUCAUGGUACCCAUCAUUACCGUAAGGGAAAUAUAAUGGGAAAUGAAGCGAGUCAAAAAGUGGAUUUAUACUUGUAAUGAGCGUCAAUCCAGUAGAUCUGUUAUUAACAAUGAUAUCUCGAUCUUCAUAGUUUGGCUCAAAGUCUUCUCGUAUCAAACCAUCCAAUUCUAUCCCACUUGGCAAGUCAUAUCUUCUAUUAUUGUCAAUGCGAGCUCCUGAAAUGCGUAAACAAAAGUUUACAUUCUCUAGUUGUUGUAGUGCAUCAUGAACUCGUCUGAAGCUCUGGGCUAGAACAUUAUAUUCAUCAAGCAUGUCUUUGAGGUCAGACAUAAAUUGUGAAUUUAAUGUUCUUGUGGUAGAGGAGACAUUUGAUAACCUAUCGUUGACCUCAGAAGCUGGAUCAAAGACAUAUAAUUGGGAAUAUCAAGGUGGUUUUCCGUCCAAAGGGAGUAUAUCCAGAGGGAGUAUAAACCCAUGCAGUGGUAGUUUUCAUCACAUAAAACCAAUGAGUAUGGCCCUCGGGGGUUCAAUAGAUGUUGACUGAAGUUUGCUCCAAAAUAUUUCCAUGAAAAGGCAGCAUUGUAAGACCGAAUGUGCUUUUGGUAAUGUCCUGAUAAUGCACUCCAUCUGGUGAUAAAAGGCGAUCGAGUAAAGGAGGUGUUUCCUGUAGCAAUGCCAUUUCAAUUUGCCCAUCCUAGCAACACAAAGAGUAGGACGGGUCUGUUUUCUGACUAGCUCGGUGCAACGCUUCUUCAUGCCAAAAAAGCGCACCACAAUUUUGCAUUCUAGUGUAGGAAGGGCAAGAUCGAGUACAGUAUUCUGUAGAGUCUUCUGUCACGAUCGGGUACCUGAAGGGUUAUAGUCUAAGAUAUUAAUGGAGAAGGCUAGAAUAUCUUUGUUCGAAUGAGUUUCACUGAGCAAAUGAAAUAGCACACUAGAACUACGGUCAAUGUAUGAUUGAAGUCGAGUUGACCGUCACGGAGCACAAACAUUCGAAGACUCAUGUAUAUUGAAGUCUGUCAUAUUUGUAUUUUGGUGUGUAUAACCCUAUAGAGAAAAAAGUGGAAAAAAUGUGAGUUAAGUUUGAAUAUAUUGUUAAACUUUAUUAGACUUGCUCAUGUAUUAAUUUAAGCAAGGCACAGAUAAUUGUAAGUAGUGUAUUAGACAAAGUAUUGAAAAAGUUUUUUAGAUUCUAGACUCAACCUGUAAUGGAGCAUGGACAUUGUCUUCCAUCAUGUUUGGAGAGUUAAGUUGAACGGGUCUGACUGUUUGUGUUGUGUGAGUACCAUCAAACUAUAUAGUGGUUUUUUAGAUGACUUGCGAUGAGCAUUUAAUUUUUUUUGAAGGUGGACCAUUUGAAGGGCGUCUACUACGCUGGACUGGAGGAGGUGUGUCAAUCGGUUCUGGUGGUAAAUUUUAUGUGGCAGAAAGGAUGUUCUUACCUUUAUCCAACAUGGCAUGAGUUGAAAGUCAACCUGUAUAGAUACAGAAAGAUGUGAGUAUAUUAUUUGUCUUGUACUCCAUAUAUAUUAAUAGUUGAUGAACCUCUGUUUUGAUUUUUUGCCCAUGAUAACAAUAAAUAUCCAACUGGAAAGGAAUGUAAUUGAUAUAUAAAAAGUGGGGUGGAAUGCGGACGCUAAUGUAACAAUAUUUUAUAAUUAAAAUUGAUGUUAUUGGUAUUUAAGUUUCCUGUUCGAAUGAUGAAUUGCGUAAUAUUUCAUCUUACAUUCAAUAUUGCACAAACCCAAGUCUUACAAAAAUCAUUUUAUAGAACACUUAUUUGUGUUGAUCGUUAUCCCAUAUAAGCUAGAAUUUGGCUAAGCAAACCAUCUCCACUAAUCUAUGUCCAUGUCACAUGUAAAAAUAAAAGAAUCACAAUGCAAUUGACGGAUACAUCAAGAUGGAAUGAAAAACGGCAAAUACCUUUUUCAUGAAAAAAAACUAUGGUUGGUGGAAAUGUGCACUGUGUUUAUUGNNNNNNNNNNNNNNNNNNNNNNNNNNNNNNNNNNNNNNNNNNNNNNNNNNNNNNNNNNNNNNNNNNNNNNNNNNNNNNNNNNNNNNNNNNNNNNNNNNNNNNNNNNNNNNNNNNNNAAACUGUUCAUUUCAAUGAAUGAAUUGAAUGAAUGGUCUAAAGAAAGAGAGAGCAAAUUAAAAUAAUGUUGAUGAGCGAAAUGCGUUAAAGUACAUAUCAAUUAGAAGUUCAUAGUUGGGAAUGAUCCCUGGAAUUUUGAUAACAAAUACCUGGAGAUGGAAAUUCUUGGGUGAUGUCGUGUGUUUGAGCAAUGAGUGAUUAUGAGUGAAAAUAAUGGGGGUGAGCUGAUUAGUAAAAGAAAGAAUGGAAGCUGAAGAUUAGAAAGAUGUGAAAUAAAUUGAAAGUGAAUAAGCAUUAUUUUCUUGUAGAUUAAUUAGUAAACUGCAUUUUCAUUCGGAUGGGAUAGUUGUCAGAUAAAAUAAAAUAAUCAUACUUUAGCAUUUAUGAGGGGUUUCACAAAUAUCAGAACGAAUCUUUAUAUUUGAAGAGUUUUCUUUUUUUGAAAAAUAUUGAUUACGAUCUAAUCCUAUCAAAUUGGCAUCUCCUGUUUUAUUGAUAUAGGACAAGGCAUGGGCCUUCCCACGACCCGUCUUGAUGCUUACCUAGGCCAUCUAUGAUCCGUUCUGUUAUUACCUUAUAAAAAACUAACAAACAUAAUCAAACUUAUCACUAAAUUAUUUUGAUAGGAACUUAGAUGAUGAAAUUUCAGUUUGGCUAUGAUCUUGGGGCGAUAUUGUGGAAUCAAAAUCAAUCUGGAUAUGUAUUCCAAGUUCCAAUUAGACAUCUCUGUAGUAAAUAAUGUUUGGUGUAUGUAUAUGAACUUGUAACAUAAUAUUUUGCGAGGGGACAAAACAGCAGUGAGAACCCGACAGGAAAGGUAAGACCAAAUCCAUAAAACCUCCUACACCCACGGCCCAAUCCCAGAAACGAAAAGAAACCAGGGGAAAAGUAUAACCUGCCCAAAAAACUAAAGAAGCAAGAAAAUCACCAAAUCGCCACCCACUCCCUCAAAUAUCAAAAUGAAUAAUAACAACACCUACAUAUUUUGGAAGUUUGAGAUCAACUAAUUACAUAUACUUUUUAUAUAACAUAAUAGUCAUAACAAUGGAUUAUCACAUAAUACCUAUGAUAAGUAAACUUAGCUAGCAAUCCAGCUAUACAGGUCCACAAUAAAGGCAGCUAUACACGACAUGGAUAGAAGACCAUGGUCAAAAAGAGCGGGUGGAAGAUGCUAGACUGGACGACACGGAUAGAAGAUCAGCUAUAUGCAACAACAAAAGCGGCUGAACGAUGGAGUAGUGGUUAGGAUCAUUCAUCAAAAAGGCAUUUCUUUGUUGGCUUGCGCUUGCCUCGGCCAAGUGCUGGGUCUAUUUCCUACUUGGAGCAAACUCUAGAAUAGAGGAUAAAAUCCUACUCGGAUUUUGAAGAACCGUAUGCUGGAGACGAUGCAGGCACGAACACAGGUGAAGCCAGGAUUUGACUAUUAUGCAAACACAACAAACCACCCGUUUAUUAUGAGAGAUUGCUAAAUAGGAAGACAAUGAUUUUAACCGAGAUGAGAGAAAACAUUGGUGGAAAAGAAUAAAAGGAUGCAAGGUGUAACUCUGACCUUACAGCAGCCUUAGAGUGUUUGAUAUACUCAGAACCAGUUUGAAAAAUGUCAUGUGCAAUUGGAGAGCUGCAUUUAAAGAGAAGAAAGUUAUAGAACGUUGCAAGGAGAAACAGAACACGUGAAUGAAGCACUAAAUCUUGACAACAUGUAUCUUAGAAAUAUAUGCAAUUACCCCAAUGGUGUAGCGGCAGGAGAUGUAGUAGCUAAAUUAGCUCUAGUGGGAUUGUUUGUUUCGAAGGCAGAAAGUGAGCGCUUGGUAAGGAAAAUUUGCGACAUGGGUUGAUUGUCCUCAGAAGUUGCAGGAUGAAGAAAGUGGAGGUGUUUGUUGUUUGGUUGACCUUGUGAUCAAAAAUAACAAAUAGAAGAGUGAAAAUGUAGGUACGUGUACUUGUAAGCAUUCACACAUGCAAAAUACAGUUUUGUGAGAUUAAAGAGAACACUCUGAAAUUAUAGGUGGGAAGCUGUACAUGUUGGUAUUUCUUGUAACUGGCUUGGAAGCUGGGGUUCCUUUAGUCUUGGCUGCCACCUUUGGAGAAGUCUUCCUUGCAGGAGUUGAUCUGGAAGAUGGCAAAAGUAAAAAUGAAACAAAGAAGGUAAAUGGAAACAUGGACCAAACUAACUUUGUCUUCGGCAGCUUGGAUUGUUUUUUCGUUUUGAAGUGUCCUCAUCUUUGUGAGCAGCACUAACCAAAGAACUUAAUUGGAAAAGAGUGCAAAGUUAAGUAAGAAUGUAGAGUGUGAUAUAAGAACAUCCGAUAGUAAACUAACACUUGGUCUUCAGAAACAGUGGUUGGAGAUGUUGAAGGUGAGACAUAAGUUGGCACUGGGGCAACAUGCUCAGGAUCACCGGGCAUAGGUGUGUUGUGAGUACUUGGGGAACUGCAAAAAAUAUAAAGGUAAUGAAAAAGCAGGAAAGAUAUCACAAUGAAGAAAGUGCAAAAGGCUAACUGUAUACAAACGUCAACGGGCUAAUUAGGGUCGAAGGGGGAGGCGGAGCAACUGACUGACGACGGGGAGUAACCAAACCAGAGAUAUUGCAAACUUUAAAAUCUCCAAAAGGGUUUGAGUGGCUAAACUUUGGCAGUUGGAAUUCAAAAUCAACAUUUUUUCCUACUAAGAAUGCAAUUGCUGGUGGGAAUUGGUCAAGAUCAUUUGGAUAUGCACGGACCAACUAAGCAGCGGGGAUGGGGAGAAUUCUUUCAGCCGUCAUACCAAGCAAAACGAACAAUGCCUCAACAGUUGAAUCUGAAACCAUAAGCUUUAGGCGAUACCUGAGAAAUACAGAGUAUAAACUGGACAACAAUAAAAUAUCUGCAAAUAAAAGGAGUGCCAAUAUGGGGGUAGGUACAGAAAAUGUGGCCAUUUCAGCAAUGAUGUAUCGCAAUGAAGGAAGCAAAACACUAUCAUGAACAAUACAACAUUGAUGGGCACACACAUGAAGUGUAUAGUUGAAUCCUCUGGCAUUCCUCCCAACCUAUAACAAUAGGGGAUCGAAAACUAAUGAUGGGAACUAAAUAACAAAGCAGGCAAAACACACGUAAAUUUCAGAAGCGCAUACACUUACUUGUACUGAACAGCUACAACAAGAAUCGUUUCAUGGACUGAGCACCAUAAAUUGGUAUGGUUAGGAGCAACGGCCUUGAAGCAAUGAGGGCAUGCGACAUAUGACCAUGGUGUGUUAGUAUCAAACCCCUUGAUCAUCGCAGCACACCGAUAGUGUGGAUCCUACAUGAAAGGCUACUGUAAGUAACAUGGCAAGCGUGAUACAAUAAACACAAAAGGUAAUUAGAAAAAGUGGUUACCGAAUCUCUACCAGCGGGGUAAAGGUCCACAAGUUCACGAAUUUUCCGAUAUAAAUCACGAAUAUGGCUAAGCAACCUUUUCGGAGUGGCGCACUUUUGGGGGACAUAGGAAAAAAGACGGCGAGUAACAUGGCAAGCGUGAUACAAUAAACACAAAAGGUAAUUAGAAAAAGUGGUUACCGAAUCUCCACCAGUGGAGUAAAGGUCCACAAGUUCACGAAUUGUCCGAUAUGAAUCACGAAUAUGGCUAUGUAACUUUUCCGGAGUGGCAAACUUUGGCGGAACAUAGGAAACUGGACGCGGAGCAGCCACGUAACUCGAAAGUUUGGAGGGCAACCAUUGGUCAUAGUUGGGAGAAGUACUAAAAGCAUGCAUGAACAACUAAAGAUGGAGGGUUAGAAGAGCAUACAAUGCGUGCAGUUCAGCCGACCGAUGGUCAGAUGGUUGGAGGAAGACCCGACUUGCUAAGCAACUUGAGGCCUGCAUUUUGCCUAGGCAAAGAGCAAUAAGAAACAAUGCAUGAGUAAGUAUAAGAAAAAAAGGAAGUACACAUGGAUAGAUGGGAGGUGUAGAACUUUUAAACUGUGAGAUACGGAAAGCAGAAAAUGCCACAAUGAUCGGGUUUGAAUCGGUAGCCUCAACAACCAUUUGAGGAUCAACAAUUUGUGUGAGGUCACCAAAGAGGGAAACGAUAACUUCAAAUCCUCUGCGGAAAAAGUAAAUGAAAUAAUAAACAAACAAAGAAGAGCAAUAAGACUAACAGAAAAUAUGAAGUGGAAAUCGUAGAGAACGAAGGAACCGAACACAUAUGCAGAAGGAUUAGGAAGUAGGUAGAAAAUUAUGAAAGUGACCAGCAACCAAUGGAAUACCAAACCAACUCACUUUGAGUAAUAUAAAAGAUAUGAAAUUUGUGUUUUUUUCGAGAGAGUUGAGGCAUCCAAGAAAACACCAAACCAAUGUAAUGGUAGAACUAAAACAUUGGACCAUAUCAUUCAUAAGUGACAUUAACCAACCAUUUAAUGAUAAUUAGGGAAAAGAAGCAACAUGGAAGGACAUGAACACUGUGACACAACAAAGGAAAUAUAAGUGCAAGCGAAAAAAAGAUCAACAGAAAUGCCAGUUUGGAAUGUUUUUGGGUCUUAGAUGAAGGCAAAUAGGCAUAUGGUGAGAAAUAUAAUGAAGGAGGAAUCUGAACCAAACAAACCAAUUAACCAUCGUAAGUUCUUGGAGGCGACCCAUUGCAUGACCACAUUGAAAAUGAUCUGGCUCGCCAGCAACGACAACCUUCCCCACAAAGUCUACACAAAUAAUAAGGCAUUACUACACAACGUAAGAGCGAAUUAGUGUAUAAAGUAGGAAGGAAUUAGUUGAGGAACCUAACCUGUGAGGUAUGGAUAUGAGGGGUGAAGCUGACCAGAAAGAGCCUCAAAUUCAAUAUAGUGCAACAAUUCAGUAGGGAAUGGAGGCGUGGUCGGCGGCUGAAGAUGGAAUUGGGUAGUCGGUGUCAAGUCCAAACAAUGAGGAAAUGGACUUGUUCGAUAGUUCUUCCUUCGAGGGCGAAGGCCAAAGCCUGUUAUUUUGUAGACGAACCAACACUGAUUCGAGACUGAAGGAGGGCAGUGUAGUUUUUGUGAGACUCCCCCUGAAUUGUGGUUCCCUGUGGUAGUAUGAAGGAAGACAGAAAUCAACAUUAAUUUUAAAGAGAAAGGCGCCAAGAAACAAAGAUGUAGGCAUGAGGAUGACGACAAAAGAGAAGAACCCCAAACCAGUUAAAAAGGCCAACCGUGAGUAUCGAAAACCUAAACAGAAGAGAAACCCCAAACACUAUUUGGAAGGACUGGGCGAUACUCCCUUUGUUUUGAUUGCCAAGAUUUAAACCAAGAGAAUGUAACAACUAUACUGCAAAUCAUAUAAGAACUUAAAAUAAAGACAAAGGAAUAAAAGUGCAGAAGAGAGGAUAACCUCAAAAUCAGUCUAGUGCGUCCCGAUGCCGGAAAAUGUAUCUGGCGUCAUAGGGUUUCCGAUCUUCCAUGCCUGAAGCAAGCGCUAGUGCAAUUCAUCGCCUAGAUUAUCCGGGGUGAGCGAUUUUAUGAGAAUGGGGCCAUCGGUGAAUGGGAUCCGGAGCAGAUGGGUUAGAAACAAAGAGAAGUUCCCCUGCUUGAAGAAGGAGAAGUUGCAGAUGGAGAGGAGAGAGAUAACUGUAGAGAGGAUGCAAGGCUGAGAUGAUAUGAGGAACUGACAGCAUAGUGUCAUAGGGAAUCGGAAGCGGCGAAAAGACUUGCAGCAGAGAAAAAAAACUCAGCAUAGGAAUUGUGGGAGAAAUAGGAAGGAGAUGUUUGGUUCAAAUUGAAUUGAAUUACACAAAAGAAACGGAUGUUGGGAGGGAAAUGGGCACAGCUACAAUAAGCUACAGUAAACUACGCUGUGCAUUUUUAGUCUUAACUAUCUAAGAAAACAUUUUUUAUUAAUAAGGAGAUGUUCAUUUCAUCAAAAUAAUUGUAAGUCAGAUGAUAUAAACUCUUUCCACACUUGAAAAAGAAACGGGGAAGGUCUUGGUGUGCUUAAGCUUCUAGGAAGCAUCGGUCAACAUUGCCAAAACCAAAUCACGCAAGCAAAGAGAAACAAUGCACGUCGUUCAGCCUUCUCCCUCUUAAGAGAGGUGCCCAAAAUCUCCCAAAGUACAUUGGAUUCCAGAAAAGACAGGUUGGGGAGUACCAAACAAAACUAAAGAAAAAGAAACAAAAACAAAAGGGAAAUCUAACUGUUACAAAGUAAAGUAUUGAGCUCGAAUUGAUUCUUGUGUUAAGCUACCCAACAGUAGGAUUCAAAAGCUGGUAGGGAGUCUUUGCCAUCUCUUUGUCCAGAGGGAACUCAUGACGAUACAUAACUCCAGGCGAUGCCACUCGUUCGGUUCAUCAGUCCUGCUACAGAGCUCCACCGUUGUAUGAAGCCCCGCCAACCAAUCAUGCUGCACGAAAGAGAGAAGGAACUCCCGGAGUAGGUCCUCUGUAAAGGAAAGACCAUAAUACAGAUGAGAAUGGGAGUCCACACCAGAAGAAGAAAGGAGGCACGAGAUAUCAACAGUGUUGGACCAAGCUUCAACUUUAUCAAGCGUAGCGAGCAGAUCAUUUAUGAUAAGCCUAACCAAAAAACUAUGUUGGGGGAUCAGCGGAGGCUUUCAAAUUAACGGGUACCAAGAAACUUUGGGCCACUGAACAUGGAUGGUGUCCCAGACCACUCCCAGCUUUAACCUGCCCAUCAGUUUCCCAGCCCAUAACUGACUAUCAGCUGCAUCCACGCUAUACUGUUGAGCCACCAAAGACUUGAGGUCCCAAGAAACGAUAGUGGACUUGAUGUCCCAAACACAAAAAGGAUUGAGAUGAUACUUAUAACACCAAGCAACCCAACGUGAUCCAAUACGAACAAAGAGGUGCCAAAUAUGCUUGAUGCAAUUAGCCGCAUUCCAACUCGAAUGAUCCUUCUUCCAAGGCCCCCUUCCUGCUUAGAACGUGCCAAACAAUCCAAUAGUGCAAUUCAUCGCCUAGAUUAUCCGGGGUGAGCGAUUUUAUGAGAAUGGGGCCAUCGGUGAAUGGGAUCCGGAGCAGAUGGGUUAGAAACAAAGAGAAGUUCCCCUGCUUGAAGAAGGAGAAGUUGCAGAUGGAGAGGAGAGAGAUAACUGUAGAGAGGAUGCAAGGCUGAGAUGAUAUGAGGAACUGACAGCAUAGUGUCAUAGGGAAUCGGAAGCGGCGAAAAGACUUGCAGCAGAGAAAAAAAACUCAGCAUAGGAAUUGUGGGAGAAAUAGGAAGGAGAUGUUUGGUUCAAAUUGAAUUGAAUUACACAAAAGAAACGGAUGUUGGGAGGGAAAUGGGCACAGCUACAAUAAGCUACAGUAAACUACGCUGUGCAUUUUUAGUCUUAACUAUCUAAGAAAACAUUUUUUAUUAAUAAGGAGAUGUUCAUUUCAUCAAAAUAAUUGUAAGUCAGAUGAUAUAAACUCUUUCCACACUUGAAAAAGAAACGGGGAAGGUCUUGGUGUGCUUAAGCUUCUAGGAAGCAUCGGUCAACAUUGCCAAAACCAAAUCACGCAAGCAAAGAGAAACAAUGCACGUCGUUCAGCCUUCUCCCUCUUAAGAGAGGUGCCCAAAAUCUCCCAAAGUACAUUGGAUUCCAGAAAAGACAGGUUGGGGAGUACCAAACAAAACUAAAGAAAAAGAAACAAAAACAAAAGGGAAAUCUAACUGUUACAAAGUAAAGUAUUGAGCUCGAAUUGAUUCUUGUGUUAAGCUACCCAACAGUAGGAUUCAAAAGCUGGUAGGGAGUCUUUGCCAUCUCUUUGUCCAGAGGGAACUCAUGACGAUACAUAACUCCAGGCGAUGCCACUCGUUCGGUUCAUCAGUCCUGCUACAGAGCUCCACCGUUGUAUGAAGCCCCGCCAACCAAUCAUGCUGCACGAAAGAGAGAAGGAACUCCCGGAGUAGGUCCUCUGUAAAGGAAAGACCAUAAUACAGAUGAGAAUGGGAGUCCACACCAGAAGAAGAAAGGAGGCACGAGAUAUCAACAGUGUUGGACCAAGCUUCAACUUUAUCAAGCGUAGCGAGCAGAUCAUUUAUGAUAAGCCUAACCAAAAAACUAUGUUGGGGGAUCAGCGGAGGCUUUCAAAUUAACGGGUACCAAGAAACUUUGGGCCACUGAACAUGGAUGGUGUCCCAGACCACUCCCAGCUUUAACCUGCCCAUCAGUUUCCCAGCCCAUAACUGACUAUCAGCUGCAUCCACGCUAUACUGUUGAGCCACCAAAGACUUGAGGUCCCAAGAAACGAUAGUGGACUUGAUGUCCCAAACACAAAAAGGAUUGAGAUGAUACUUAUAACACCAAGCAACCCAACGUGAUCCAAUACGAACAAAGAGGUGCCAAAUAUGCUUGAUGCAAUUAGCCGCAUUCCAACUCGAAUGAUCCUUCUUCCAAGGCCCCCUUCCUGCUUAGAACGUGCCAAACAAUCCAAGCGGCCUUGCUGCCAUUCCCAGAGGAAUUUGUUACAAAUAUCUUCAAUGGUGUGCAGCAGCUCCUGAGGAAGGGUGAAAAUGCCCAUCCAAUAUUGCAAAAUCCUUUCAAUAACAGAGUCAACCAAUUGAAGUUUCCCAGCAUAGGAGAGAUAUCGUGCCUUCCAAUCACGGAUACGAGCCACAAUUUUGUCAAGAAUGGGUUGCUAGUCAGCCGCCUUAGGUUUUCCUGUAGAAAGAGGCACUCCAAGAUACUUAAAGAGAAGGCUCCCACUAAUGAACCAGAAGAGGCAGCAAUCACAAUAGCCUCAUCUUCCCCCACCCCAGCCAUGUAGAUAACACUUUUCUUCGGAUUAAAAUGCAGAUAUGGGACAGCUUGAAAUUGGUUUAGGACAGAGACCACCUCAACCACCGCCACCCAUGUUGCUUUUCGGAAGAUAAUUAGGUUGUCGGCAAAAAAGAGGUAAGAGGUUCUCGUAGCAAUACAUUGGGGAUGAUACUGGAAGCGCUUUGCAGCAACAGAUUUAACAAAAAGGUAAGCAAGUACUUCCAUGGAGAGAACGAAUAGGUAAGGGGAAAUGGGACCCUCUUCCCUAAAUCCCCGGUAGGCGGAAAAAUAACUGAAAGCAUUGAUGAUCUUUAAAGAAGGAAGCCGGGAACCCAUUGGGGCAAGGUGCUUUGUUAGAGGCCAUAGCAAAAAGUGCUUGUUUGAUCUCAUGAGGAGAAACCAGAGCAAUGAGAGCAUCCAACUGGUCAGUAGUGAGCUUGUUAUGAAUGAGAUCCUCCAUAUUACUACGAGGGAGGUUGGAGUCAGUUCCCAAGAGCUGGACGUAAUAUCCAACAGGCACACUAGCAAGAGCAGCAUGUCGGAUGAUCAUAUCCCAGUCGCAUCAGAAAGCUGUCUAAUUGUAUUCCGAGCCUGACGAGCCUUCACCUGAUUAAAGUAAAACAUGGUGCUUUGUCUCCCUCCCAGACCCAAUCAGUACAAGCUUUUUCUUUAAGAUGCUAGCCUCUGCCUAUUGGAGGUCAUGGAGGAACUUCUCAGUAGAAUGGACAUCAUUGAUAUGGGAAGGGGUAGGGUCAUCAAACAUGGUAGCUCGUGCUGUAGUUAAUACCUCAGCGGUCCUCGACUAGAUGUUGGAGAAAUUAAGUUUGUUAAUUAGUCCAACCAAGCAUUAAGAUUAUGCACUUUGCCAUAUAGAUGAUAAAAAGGGCGAUCCUGACUACGACUACCCUAAACAUCAGCCAGAUAGAAGUGAACUUUGGAUGAUUUGACCAGCAGGUAAAAAUCUUAAAAAGCCUUGGGGGUAGAAGGGGAGCUAACAUCAGAGUUAAUAAGCAGUGCAUAGUGAUCAGAGGAUAUACCAGGGACUGCAAUGACAAUGUUUCAAGGGUGUCUAAUAUGCCAGGGAACAUUAAUUAAGGCAUGAUUGAGCUUAUGAGCAAUAGAGUUAUCCAUCUGGUUGUUGGUCCCAGUGAAUUUGGGGCCCUGUGUGGAGUGAUCCAACAAUUCCCCGGCAUCCACAAAAUCCCUUAACUCCAUCAUAGAGCUAGGGGAAGAAGGAAAAGAGAAGGCAUCAACAUAAUUGAAAAUGGCAUUAAAAUCCCAAGCAAUAAGCCACGAUGAGAUAGGUUUACAAUGAGCGAGCCAAUCAGUAAACAUACUCUUCCACGCAUCACCUUUAGUAGACGCAUACACAAGGUGCUUAAAUAGGGAUCACACAUACAGACUUCCACAUGAAUGAGCUGGGAGGUCCUAAACAGGACUUUCAAAGGGAUGUCAUUUUGCAAAUGAGCCAAAUCUUACUAAGGUCAGCUUCGUAGCAAGUUUCAAUGUUCCAACCAGCAAAACGAGUAGUAACUAGAGAAGGUUCAUUUAUUUUCCUUAUUCGGUGCUCUAAAAUUGUAACUACAUCUACCUUAUAUUUAUUUAUAUAGCUAAGCACCUCAUCAUAUUUGGCUUUGAGGUUGAAGCUACGUACAUUCCAGACCCAAAAAAUCAAUUGCGUCCAUGAUGACGAUGUAGGACCUUACUGCACCACCACGUUGGGAGGGCUCUGUCUUACCAUGACUCUGGAAAUCCCCAGGGUGGCUUUUGGUAGCGCCUGGCCUGGAUUAUCUAGCUUUUCUAAUUGAUCCUCUUCACUACUCCACAUGGAUAUCAUCCAGUUUUGUACCACAGUUAAUCUAAGCUUACUCAUGAUCUUUGUUGCACCAUGUGUAGGGGGUAUGCUGCGAGCUCGCAGCCAGCUUUCAGACGGAGCAGAUGUCGAAUGUAACCACUUCAUCUUCGACAAUCACUGGAAUAGCUUCCGGCAGAGUGACAGAUGGGGUCUUCAUCGGGCAGACCUUGACAUUUAAUCCAUCUUAAACAUAGUUAGUAAUUGGCGUCCCAAAUUAUCUGGCCAUCCAGCCGAUCGCGUCUACCGUGAGCAUAGGAGGUGGGAUGUUCUUGAAGGUAAGCCAGAUAGGGGUAUCGUUGGGAGCAAUAGGCACCAGCUGGAUGCCCUUCCAGUGUUGUAAUAGCAACACCGAGUGAUGGACAUGCCAAGAGCGAGCGAGCACCCAGUCAUACAGAGAAAUAUAUGGAAAUUCAAUUAUAAAAAACCCCUUAGCAAGAUUAGAGAUAGUGAUAGCACCUUCGUAACCCCAUAAUCGAUUCGCCAUGGAGGAGAAAACUUGAAGCGAUGGCAUCGUGCCUAGGAAUUGAGUGACCACUGCAGAUCUAAGCUUCUGCAACCCCUUUGCAAUCACAGCAUUAGGGAUCUCAAGUAUACUAUCUGCGAAACAAUCCGGUUAUCAUCAGCCGUUUGUAUGGAUCAUUGCCAUCGGAAGAUGGUUGUUGCCAAAGGACCGAGACAGCGUCUUACCAAAGAAAGCCAGCGAAUUACUUUGCCUCGGUUAUCGCCGACACUUGGAUUACAAGCUCCCGUUACAGAACUUGGCAAUUGUGUCAGAUCACCAUAGAAGAAUAUAAACGGUAGAAGUAGGUACUAACUGCAGGAUGUGGUACGUUAGAAACUAUACAAUGCCAAAUAAGAAAUGUGAAUACGAAAGGUAUACCAUUAGAAAUCAAAUAUCUUUUUUAUAUUAAAACCACGAAAGAAUGUGAGAAAAGCUGAAAAGCUGAAAAGCAAAACAAAGAUCACAUGCAUCAUAAUAAUGGGUGAUUAUCAAUAAAACCAAACUGUAAACAUUAACUAGAUUUUUAUGGCGCGCGUUGCCGCUUAGAGUUUGUUUUAUGUUUAGUUUAUAUGUGUUUACUCGUGGAAUGGAAACAUAUUCGAGUUGGUAUGUUCUUGGUAAAUAAAAGGUUGUUGGAAAACACAAUAUAAUACAUAUCAAUUUGUAAAUAGAUAACGAAUACAAAAUAUAAUAUAUCUAUCAACAACAGUGAGUGCUGAGAAAUGGCUUAUAGUAGUAUAUAGAAGGUUGUUACAUACAAGACAAAAUAUAAUACAUAUUGAUCAUUAGAUAGAUAGAAAAUAUAAAAUAUAACAUUUGAAUUCUUGUCAUUAAGCACGGGGAGACGUGUAGAUCUUGAAAGAUCUCAUCAUAGACUAUAUUCCGGGUACACAUCAGGCCCACUUCUUCUAUGUUUUGCAAGACAAUAUGGAUUCCAGCUGCUGAGCGGACCGCGAAAGAGCAACAUAUAAUUGACCGUGGCUGAAAACUGGUGCAGGUAGAUAUAUUCCAAUUUGGUCAAGUGUCUGUCCCUGACUCUUGUUGAUAGUCAUCCAUAGCAUACACGAAGUGGGAACGGUCGGCGCUUUAAUGUGAAUGGCCAGUUCGGAUCUGUAUGCUCAAAAAUAAUCCGAGGGAUGAUAGCAAUAGUACCUUCGAAGGAUCCACCUAUAAUUAGUCCCCGUAUGACAUUUGUGCCUAGGUGUGUUAUUAGAAUCCGUGUACCAUUACACAAACCAGCUGCAGGAUUCAAAUUCCGCAAAAGCAUCACCAUAGCAUAUUGCUUGAAUCGUAAUUGAUGCUCAGGUAUACGAUUGUAUGAUAAGCCGUUGAGAAAUUCGAUUGGGUACUCCAUUUGUAAUGAUUCUUGAUUAGACGAUGGUGAUGUAAGAGAGUCGGAGCUCAAAUAAACUUGUUGCGGGCCUGGUAGUUGGUUAAGUACAUAAUCAUUGACUUCACUGACCACAACAUUUGUUGGUGCUACGAUUGCUCUAGUGAGAAUAUAUGUCACAUUGUGAUAAUUAUUCUGUAGAUUUGGAUAAACACGGUUGAUCAAGUCUCGAAUUGGAUUUGUUUUUUUGGAACUAUGAAGCAUUCUGGAAUUUGGAUCCAGUCAGGUGUUGAAUGGGUAGUUGAUCGGAUUAUUGGGAUCUUCCCAUCGCCAACUGCCAAGAUCCAAUCAGAGAAUUGCAUUCCACCAAAGGAAAGUGAUGUGUUUAUACUUGAAGAUGUGAUGCGCAUGUUAGUAUGAAGCUCAAGUAGGUUACAAUGUCUCCAUAAGUAUGAUCGUGUUAGGCUCGCCUCAAUAUUAUCUCCUCAGGUACCAUUGGUUAUUACUGGUAGUGUUUGUCGAAAAUCACCAACAAGUAUAAAAGUUUUCCCUCCAAAGGGCUUGUAAUUUGGUCCUUCAGUUGGUGUGUUCAUGAUGUCACAUAGUGUACGAUCGACGACCUCAAAAGAUAGUCGGUGUACCAUUGGUGCUUCAUCCCAUACUAUCAAUGUAGCAUAUUGCAUGAGCCGAGCAAGUGUUGUUCCUUUUUUCAUUGAACAUGUUGAUCCAUGGUCAACCUCUAUUGGUAUUUUGAAUUGAGAAUGUGCCGUAACACCUCCAGGUAAUAGAGUAGCUGCUAUACCAGAGGAUGCAACCACAAUAGCAAUUUGGCCCAUGCUACGCACCUUUGAGAUUAUACAAUUGUAUAGGUAUGUCUUGCCUGUUCCUCCAUGACCAUAUAGGAAAAAUAUUUUUCCUGAUCCAUUUUGCAAAGAAGCUAAGAUAGCAUCAUGAGCUCUUCUUUGUUGCAGAUUUAGAGAUGCAUGACUAUUAAUAUAGUCAUAUGCUCAGUAGGAAUGUCAUAUUGUAGUUGUUGUGAAAUUAGAUCAUUUGGACCUGCUGUACCUGAUGGUGUUGUAGGGAACGACAGAUUACAGUGUGAUAGACUACUUGAAUAAUUUUGUAAAUUGUGGAACACUUGAUCGCGAAGGACUUGAAGUACCAUCCCUGACAGUGGUUCUGCAUUAUUUUCUUGCAAACGGCGUUGAAAGUCAUCUACCAUUGAAGGCCACCACCGAUCAAAUAAUCCUGUGGGGGAGGUUACCUGGCAGAACAUUAAUAUUGAUAUGAAUGUAUUGCGGAUUAGUGUUGGCAUGCCCCAAUGUGAAACCUCAGCCAUAACAUCAUUCCAUUCAUUGUCUGUAGCUAAAAGACCAAGUGCCUGACAUGCUUUUUGGUAGUCAUCAUACACUACGCCAUGUACUGUACGAAGGGCAGUGAAACUUAGUGCACCUGGAAUUUUUGUUAGAAGUAGGCGCAUAUAAAAAACAUCAUCGGCUUGUGGAUGCACAGUAGCAAUUCGACCAAGUACAAAACCUUGCUUACGUACAACCCAUUGUGAACAUUGUUUAUCCCAUUUGAAGUUCGCUGGGAUUUCCGAAUACAGAUACUUCCUUGCUGUAGGGUACAUUCUAUUCAGUGUGAAAUAUUUUGUAAGCAUAGUUUUGUCCACAUCAGGCCUAUUAAGAACAGAUGAAAGAGUUUGAUUUUCUUCAAAUGUGACCAAUUGCUUAUCAGGGAGGUGGAUGCAUAACCGAAAGACAGGUGUUGACCGCUCAUGAAUUUUAAAUGAGAACAAUCUCCAGACUGCUUCAUAGGAUGAAAUUGAUCUGCAGUCGAGGUAUUGAGAAAUCUCAACAACUGGUCUAUUCGGAUCUGCUAUGGAAGUUCGAUUCUCUGUUGUAACUUCUGAAUGAUCAGGUCCUUUGGUUAUGUACUUGAACAAAUACUUAAUUAGCUGACCUUUAUGACAGAUUUCAACAUUCAUAUGAGCUUGGUAUUUGACCAGUAGUUUCUUGUUGUAAGGGACCACAUAGCGGUUGUCCAGACUUGUACCAGAUUUGAUGACAGUGAUAUUUCUGUCACGUCUCCUGUAUGUUACAUAGCCCGUUGUUGCAAAUGUUGUUUCAUGUGAAAAUGGUUUGGGAAAAAAUUUGGAACAACGGCCAUUUCUCAUGCAAGGUGAUGAUGAAUUUGCUUCUCCACAUGGCCCAUGUAUCAUGAACUUUGUGACAACAUCAUAUCCAGUAGGAUCCGUAACUGGAUUUGGCAACUCAGCUGAGAUUAUCUUGUCAACCAUUGCAGGUGUUUUAGGUUUGUAUUGAUCAGCCAACCACAAAAUGAUGUGCACAUGUGGCAAGCCACGUUUUUGAAAUUCAACUGUAUGAAUGUCUGUUUGAAAUUGGUAAUGAAAAAUAAGUGUCAAUGUGAGUGGAAUAUAUAAAAAGGAUAGAUAGAUUGUGUAGUAGGUACCUGCUACUGAACGUCCAAAGUAUUUUGUUUUUUUAAGAUCUUCUUUGAGCAUUUCAAGGUGCAUCUUGAAGACUCGAGCAAUGACCAUAGGCUUGUCCUCUCCUUGUGUGCCAACAUCGUCUUUAAAUGCAUUUACAAUUUCUGGCCAUUGUGCGUUACAGGUAAAUGUAAUAAACAAAUCAGGUUUCUUAUAAUGACUGCAAAUGGUCAUAGCGUCAUGAUAUAAUUGUUGCAUGUAACGGACACCACCUGAAAAGGAAUGAAUAAAUUUUGUAUAUAAGUUUAUGUGGUCAUAAAAUUAGAAGUUAAGCAUGGAUCACAUCAGAAUAUAAGUACCUGUGAAGGAAGAUGGAUUUAUAAUACCGCCAACAUUGCUUGCAUCAUGAUCGCCUCGAUUGAGAGCAUCAUACAGUCCCUUAUAUAAAUCUGACCGUAAUUUCUUUUGGUUCAAACGGAUAUAUAAGAGUCAAUUUUGCUCAAUUGUUGUAAAUGCAUCUAUGCAGAAAUGUUGCAAAGCCUUGCCGGAACGUAUUAGAGUUUUUCCUUCGGCUUCCCUGAAUUGCAAUCGGAAACAAUAAUAUUCGCGUUGGGUGACAUACUGACGCUUUUUCUCAGGGUCUCUAUGAAGAGGGUUGUAUCGAAUUCUAUUGUGAUACCCGUCAUUACCAUGGGGAAAGAGCAGGGGGAAAUGAAGUGAGUCGAAUAAAGGGUUCAAACUUGUGAUGCGACACAAUCCCAUUGCUCUAUUGUUGACAAUGAUAUCUCGGUCAUCAUUGGCUGGGGAGAAAUCGCCUGGUAUCAACCCAGCUAAUUCUGUGCCACUUGGAAGUUCAUACAUACGAUCCCGUUCAACCCGAGGACCUGUUAUUCGCAGCCGCAAAUUAUGGUUGCUAGGUUGUUGGAGAGCUUCUCGAACACGUCAAAAACUUUGAGCAAGAACAUUGUUGGUAUCUAUCAUUUCUCGAAGAGAUUCCAUGAGAGUUGGGUUUAAGUGGUGAGAUUGGCCGCCUACACUCGACAUGCGAUCAUUAACUUCAGAUGUUGGAUCGUGGACAUACAAUUGGGAAUAUCGAGGGGGUUGUCCAUCCGGAGGUAGAAGCGAUCCCAUGUAGUGAUAAUUUUCUCCUAAAAGCACCAAUGAGUAUGGUCCUCGUGAAUGUAGAAGCCUUAGGGUCGAUUUUUGCUCCGAAAGAUGUCCAUGAAAAUGCAGCGUUGUAUGAUCGGAUGUGGUUGCGAUAAUGUCUUGAAAGGGAAUCUCCAUUGAUAUUUAGGAGCUGGUCUAAUAAAGAUGGUGUUUUUGCAAGCAAUUCAAGUUCCACUUGGCCGAGUUGACAACAUAAUGAGUAGUCUGGGUUUGUCGAUUUUCGAGUGCGUUUAAGGGCCUUAUAGAUCCAGAACCAAGCACCACAAUGUCUACAAACACAUGUAGGCAAGCCCAAAUCUAAAAUUUUGUCGUUACAUGAUAUUAACGAUUCAGGUUCGGUGUCUAAUUCAGAGUCAGUCCCUACAUCAAGUUCAAUGGGGUUGUCUAGGAGUGGAUUCAGCUGUGUAUCUAGUGGGUUGAAAUUUUGGGCAGAAUGGCUUGUAUUAUUAAUAUAAUUUGAUGUUGUUGUGUGAGUGCCAUUGCUAUGGACAGUGGUUGUUGAAGAGAACACAUUGUGUUGCGUUGUGGAUUGGGAUUGCAAUAGAGGGAACAGUCGGGAUCGACGAUCGACUCGAGAAUUUCGAAUAGGGGUUAUAACUUGAGGGGUUUUUCGUUUAUUAGUUGGAGGUGUCAAUGGGAUGUUGGGAGCCGGUUCUUUGCCUGGUCUUUGCAUUAUGGUUGUGUAUCCUGAUGAGAGGUUAAUAAUCAGUUUCUAUACAUAAUAAUAUUAUAAAUAAUGACAUUAUUGAAAGGUAGAUAGGUAAUGUAAUAGAAAACAGUCUGGAAUCGCAAAUAACUGUGAGAUGCUUUGAGGAUUUGGCACCCGACAGUUGGAAAGAAAUUAAAGAGUUGCAUCUGUUUUUUGGGCAGAAAACUAUAGUAAAUAGGUUGUAAUUUUUUUUUGGGAAAACAAAGAUAUCUAAUAUGUGUGAAAGAUGGAUAUGAUUUUUUGUUUUAUAUUGUGAUCAUAUAACACCAUAGUUAUAGUUUUGUUGUUAGAUUGAAGGCAGCAUAAAAGAUAUUUAUUGCACAUAAUCAUUUCGUGUGCCAUUGAAAAGAUUCAUAAGGGGAUUCUAUCUUUCUACAUGAAAAUGAUGAUCUAUCAAAUAACUAAUGUAAUGAAUAAAUAUAGGUAGGAGUAUGUUUGGUUUCGAUUAAGCAGUAAGAAAAAGUAUAUACUGGAGCUGCGAGGUUACCUUGAUGGCUGGAAGAGACGAUAACAAUGGUGGAAAUGUUGAGAGGUUUUUCGUAUGUAGUUUAUGGUGGUGGAUUGAAGUUACAGUUAUGAGAGAGAUAACAUGGGUUUAUAGGGGACAUAAUUAUUAAGUUCUGGUGGAAAGUAGGGGCAACAGUGAUUAGGGGAUUAGUUUAGGGAUAAGAAUUGGAAGGAGUAUGUGAUGAGAUAUAAAAUAUCUAGUGGGGUACGUCAUGCAUUAGAAUUUUGGAAGGGAUGGGUGCAGGAUACGUAAUUUGAAGCUGUUGGUUGUGUACACAAUGAAUUGGGUUUUUUGUAUAAAGGUGUAACUGAAAUCAUGCUCGUUCGAAUUGUGUAUUUCGAUACUAUAUAACUUCCUAUGCAUUUAUAAAGUAGUUUUUCGUGCUUUUUAGAUGCAGUUUAAUGCAUUUAGCAUCUAUACAAUUUUGAUAAUUAUAAUGAACCAUUACAGACAUGCCUUUUCAUAUGUUCACGGUACCUGUUAAAUAUGUGGCAAAAGUCAUAUUUGGUACAUUUAUGAAAGCAUUUAGAAUGACAAAAUAAGUAUGAUCGGUUUGUAUCAAAGUUCUAUUGCAUGGCAAGAAAUUGGCACCAAUGUGUUGACUGAAGUUGUGGCCGCUAUUAGUAUUAAGAUAGGAUAUUCAAGUGGCGAAACCGAGGCGAUCCAAAAACCGUCUGCGUGGGUAUUUUGUAAUGGAUUAGGGGCGGGUUGAGGGGCGCCAAAUUCGUUGUUGAUGAAAAUAAAACAACAACAUGGUAGCAAGAGACAGUAACAGAUUUGGAAAUGAAAUAAUAUCCAAGCAUUACACAUGAUUUAAGCUAAAAUAAAAGACAUAUGCCGCUGUCUGGGUCUGAUUUCAGUAGUAAGCAACUACGAGAUCCCAAAGAUUUUGAACAACAUAUUGGGCACAGCUGCUAGACCUACAUUCAAGCAAUUGAACUUCCACAACAAAGAACCGGUCUUUGAGCUGCAAAGAUAGAGCUUCUUUCCUCUCAGCAGAUAGUGCAUUGUAUUCAUGUGGAUGCAGUUUGAAAAGCAAAGUGGCAGCUGGUCCGGUGAAAAGCAUAUGUGUAGUUGCCGUUGCAUCAGAACAAUGUACCAUAACAGAGUAACUAAUAGAGAGGAAUGAUUUAAGGGUAUAGAGGAAUGAUUUAACAGUACGUUAGAACCAGCAAAAUACUAUUGUAAGAGUACAAUCUGAUAUUGGAGAUCGAUACCUAGGUCGGUUGUUGUUGUGGAUAACGUUGCCUGGGUGGUGAGGCACAUCAACAAUUCUAAUAAGACACCAUGUUUUUGCCUGCAAGCAAGAGAAUUAGAUAUAUACAGACAACAAAGACAAUUCACAAAGUGGGUAGAAAGAGAACUACAGACACAACUAUGUGGAUGCAUUACAUGUUGCUCAAAAGCAAUUGAAGCCAAGUGCAGUUUGGGUGGGAGGUUGCCACCAACGAAUGUGAAGCAACUGUCCAAAGUUGGGCUCACCAGGCGUACAGGUAUGUGAUUAUGCAAGAAUCUGGAUUGAAAAGUAGAAAAUGUUAGAAAAUAUUAAGGGAGGGGACAUAUAUAGGGUACAAAGGUUGCAACAUACAUAUCAAAAUACUGGGUGAAAGGUGGCCGGAACGGUGCUAAGACAAUUCGUGAUGCCGGUGUGCCUUGAAGGUGCCAUUUUAUAUCUGUGAAAUGAAGGUAGAUAAUAUUUAUACAGAAAUAGCAUACAACGCAAUUGGGGAAUAGAGAACAUGAAAAGGCACCAACUUGGUACAUCGCAGCUUGUGAUACACGUUAGGAUGACCAUGACGGGAUGGAAUUGUUCAACGGUUGCGAUCUGGUCAAUAUCGAAAUCUGGCAUUUGGUAGAAAGAUGUAUAACGAACAGAAAUGCGGCCAACACUACAGAUGCACCAGGGUUAAUGAACAACGAAAUACCAAUAAUUAUAUGUAAUGGAUGGUGUAUAAUGCAUAAAUUUAGAACACACAAACCUUGGCUCGUCAACCAGAAGACUGAAAUCGACCAGAUUGUCACCUGCAGCAAGCGGUUCAGUUAUUGACACAAGGCGACCAACAAUAUCUGCAUUCGAGCUAUUUUUUAGCAAUGUAUGAAGGAAGAUAGAAGGAAUUAUCUAGUGGAACACAUGGGGUUAUUGGUUAAGACCUGCCCAGACAUUUGGGGAUUCCGGUAGAGAGCGAGGCAUGACUGCUGGUGCAAUGUUGUAAUUAUCAUGAGGGAAGAAGGGGUGUAGUGGGUCUUCAAGCAGCGGUUUGACCAGGUGUUGAGGAAGAACAAACAGAGUCAGAUGACC
rnacentral:lncRNA from 1 species